rnacentral:rRNA from 1 species
CCUACGGGGGGCAGCAGUGGGGGAUAUUGGACAAUGGGGGGAACCCUGAUCCAGCGACGCCGCGUGAGUGAAGAAGUAUUUCGGUAUGUAAAGCUCUGUCAGCAGGGAAGAAAGAAAUGACGGUACCUGACCAAGAAGCCCCGGCUAACUACGUGCCAGCAGCCGCGGUAAUACGUAGGGGGCAAGCGUUAUCCGGAAUUACUGGGUGUAAAGGGAGCGUAGACGGUUAAGUAAGUCUGGAGUGAAAGGCCGGGGCCCAACCCCGGGACUGCUCUGGAAACUAUUGAACUUGAGUGCAGGGGAGGUAAGCGGAAUGCCUAGUGUAGCGGUGAAAUGCGUAGAUAUUAGGAGGAACACCAGUGGCGAAGGCGGCUUACUGGACUGUAACUGACGUUGAGGCUCGAAAGCGUGGGGAGCAAACAGGAUUAGAUACCCGGGUAGUC